GCGAAGGUGGCGGAAUUGGUAGACGCGCUAGCGCUAGCUUCAGGUGUUAGUGUUCUUACGGACGUGAGGGUUCAAGUCCCUCUCUUCGCACCA
rnacentral:tRNA from 1 species